UGCGCCUACGGGAGGCAGCAGUCGGGAAUAUUGCACAAUGGAGGAAACUCUGAUGCAGUGACACCGCGUAUAGGAAGAAGGUUUUCGGAUUGUAAACUAUUUUAGACAGGGAAGAAAAAAGACAGUACCUGUAGAAUAAGCUCCGGCUAACUACGUGCCAGCAGCCGCGGUAAUACGUAGGGGGCAAGCGUUAUCCGGAUUUACUGGGUGUAAAGGGAGCGUAGACGGCGGCGCAAGCCAGAUGUGAAAGCCGGGGGCUCAACCCCGGCAC
rnacentral:rRNA from 1 species